CUUGCUCCAGCAGGUUAGCGGCGGACGGGUGAGUAACACGUGGGCAACCUGCCUGUAAGACUGGGAUAACUCCGGGAAACCGGAGCUAAUACCGGAUAGUAUCUUGAACCGCAUGGUUCAAGUUGGAAAGACGGUUUCGGCUGUCACUUACAGAUGGGCCCGCGGCGCAUUAGCUAGUUGGUGAGGUAAUGGCUCACCAAGGCAACGAUGCGUAGCCGACCUGAGAGGGUGAUCGGCCACACUGGGACUGAGACACGGCCCAGACUCCUACGGGAGGCAGCAGUAGGGAAUCUUCCGCAAUGGACGAAAGUCUGACGGAGCAACGCCGCGUGAGUGAUGAAGGUUUUCGGAUCGUAAAACUCUGUUGUUAGGGAAGAACAAGUGCGAGAGUAACUGCUCGCACCUUGACGGUACCUAACCAGAAAGCCACGGCUAACUACGUGCCAGCAGCCGCGGUAAUACGUAGGUGGCAAGCGUUGUCCGGAAUUAUUGGGCGUAAAGCGCGCGCAGGCGGUUUCUUAAGUCUGAUGUGAAAGCCCCCGGCUCAACCGGGGAGGGUCAUUGGAAACUGGGAAACUUGAGUGCAGAAGAGGAGAGUGGAAUUCCACGUGUAGCGGUGA
rnacentral:rRNA from 2 species